UGCUAUGAUGGUGUAAUUUGCGUCUGAUCCUGUGAACAGUGACAGUUGCCUGCUGUCAUUAAACUGUCACAGAGUAUUGAUGUAUAAUCUAGUCUGAGCA